UACGUAGGUGGCAAGCGUUGUCCGGAAUUAUUGGGCGUAAAGCGCGCGCAGGUGGUUUCUUAAGUCUGAUGUGAAAGCCCACGGCUCAACCGUGGAGGGUCAUUGGAAACUGGGAGACUUGAGUGCAGAAGAGGAUAGUGGAAUUCCAAGUGUAGCGGUGAAAUGCGUAGAGAUUUGGAGGAACACCAGUGGCGAAGGCGACUAUCUGGUCUGUAAUUGACACUGAGGCGCGAAAGCGUGGGGAGCAAACAGG
rnacentral:rRNA from 1 species